ACGGGAGGCAGCAGUGAGGAAUAUUGGUCAAUGGACGGAAGUCUGAACCAGCCAUGCCGCGUGCAGGAAUAAGGCCCUAUGGGUCGUAAACUGCUUUUGUGGUGGAGCAAUAAGGCGUACGUGUACGUCGAUGAGAGUACAUCACGAAUAAGCAUCGGCUAACUCCGUGCCAGCAGCCGCGGUAAUACGAGGGGUGCAAGCGUUGUUCGGAAUCACUGGGCGUAAAGGGAGCGCAGGCGGAGAUGCAAGCAGUCUGUACAAUACCGGGGCCCAACCCCGGACCUGCAGACUGGACUGUUUCUCUUGGAUAGUUCAGGGGCAAGCGGAAUUCCUGGUGUAGCGGUGGAAUGCGUAGAGAUCAGGAAGAACACCGAUGGCGAAGGCAGCUUGCUGGGGACUUAUCGACGCUCAUGCUCGAAAGUGCGGGUAGCAAACAGGAUUAGAUACCCUGGUA
rnacentral:rRNA from 1 species